rnacentral:rRNA from 1 species
UACGGAGGGAGCUAGCGUUGUUCGGAAUCACUGGGCGUAAAGGGUGCGUAGGCGGGUUUCUAAGUCAGAGGUGAAAUCCUGGAGCUCAACUCCAGAACUGCCUUUGAUACUGGAAGUCUUGAGUAUGGGAGAGGUGAGUGGAACUGCGAGUGUAGAGGUGAAAUUCGUAGAUAUUCGCAAGAACACCAGUGGCGAAGGCGGCUCACUGGCCCAUAACUGACGCUGAGGCACGAAAGCGUGGGGAGCAAACAGG